GUCAUUAAAUGUGCAAUUUAAUAACAAAUUUGUUGUGCAGUGCUGUUAAUUAAUUAUUACCACAUCCUUUCUGUACACAGGCUGAAGGAUUAAAUUCCUCUAAAGAAGAGUGUAUAUCAGUUACAUGCAGUUUCACAAAAAAGACCAGCAUAUCAACGCUUUCUCUCUUCCUCCUGUAAACGCAAGUUCUGUCUUCAUUGUGUCUUAUGUGGGAUGAAACCGGAGAACCUGGAGGAAUAAACACAGGCUUGGACACCGAAGAAACUCCACACAGCCAGUAACCUAUGCUCAGCUGUGAGGUGGCAAUGUGGUACAUGCUGAACAACUGCGCCGUACAUGUACGCUGCUUUUAGUAUGCUUUUAACAAAUAGUUAAAUUGCUUUCUCUCAAAACCGCUCAAAACUGCAUGUGACAAAUUAAGAAUGUCUCUAAAAAUAUUUUAAAUAAAUGCAAACAAAUAGUCAAUCUUGACAAACAGAAUUUGCUUUCACUUACCAGGAACUUGUCUUCAUGUCAUCAUGUCUUCCUUCAUAGAAAUAUAAAGGUACGCACAAGCAUAUUUUUACCCUUUUUGUCACACAAAAGAGACAGAUAUAGCGUACAUUCCAAGUAAAUGUAUACUGUAAAUGAUCAGAAUUUGCACAUAAUCAGUCAUGUCUGAAAUUGUUGGAAAUUUGUCAAGUGAUGGAGCCUUUAUCACACGAUCUGGCCACACAGUGAUGAGUAAAGUGAUGGACAGAAACAGUGAGUUCAGAUUUUAAAAAAACUUUGUUUACAUUUUGUUGUAGCAUUUGAGUUAAAAAUUCAACUAUCAAAAACAUUUUCAUGACAAAAAGCUGUGUGGAAGUCUAACAUAAAAGACAGCCUUACUAAGAACAUCUCAGGGAGCACCUAUUCUUUAUCAAACAUUACAUCACAACAUUACAACUACAACUGGCAUUGUGUGUGGUCAGAUGAGACCAGAAUUUGUUGUCAAACAAAGCCUCAGCAUGUUGUCAACAAAAAAGCAUUGUAUAAAAAAAUUUGCACCUGAUACUCAAUAUAAUAUAUGGCUUUUGCGAUUUAAAAGUUUUCUUUUUUAUAUUUAUAGCAUCAUAAAUUUCAGUCAAACCCUGGCUACUUCUGCCAGGAGGUUAAGAUAUAGACAAAGAUUAAACUUUUAACUACAUUAAAUAAUCUUUCAAAUUAACCAACAAAUGAUUUACACACAUAUGCAAUGUUCAUGUGUUACAGGAAGAGACUUGGUACUAUUAUCUCUCUAGAAUGAACUGUACAGGUGCCUUCGUAUGCUUGUGAAACUAUAUAGUGUCCCUGUAUAUGUGAUCUCAAAGAUCUCUCACUGAUGUGUUAUUCAUUCUGCAUAUUAACUUUCUGUAUGUUUGCUUUUAUGAAUGAAUUAAUACAUAAAACAUAUUCUGACAGCAUCAACCCCAUUGUAAGAAAUGCUCUUACUGGUCACUUUAUUAGAAACACCUGCUCAAUUGUGCAAUUAUCCAAUCAGCCAAUCAUGUUGCAGCUGCACAAUACAUAAAAAACAUGCAGAUACAGGUCAAGAGCCUCAGUUAAUGUUCACAUCAAACAUCAGAAUGGAGGGAAAAAGUAAUUUGCUGUCAUACAUGCUGGCUUGAGUAUUUCAGAAACUACUCAUCACAGUUUACUCAGUUCACCCCAGUGAGCAGCAUCUCUCUGUGAAAAAAUGUCUUAAUGAGAGAGGUCAAAGGAGAAUGUCCAGACUUGACAGCUGACAUUUCUAUCAUACACAAUAUCAGAAUCAGAAUCAGAAUCAGAUUUAUUUAGAAUUUGGUUCCAGCAGUGUGUGACUCUCAGGUACAGACAUAAAUAACACAAUACUAUACAGGAAAACAAUGCAGAUGAUGACGAUAUAUACAAGAUUGCUUACAAGUGUCCAAGAAUACAGCAGAUUGAAGCAUUUAAAACUGUUCUGCUAGCACUUUAUUUAAUCUCUACAAAAAUAUACACAUCUUUAUUUUUAUUUUUGUUUUAAAUUAUCCUAGGUAUGAGACCCUGUGUUAAAAAGUCCAUUUUGAUUGGUUCAUAACCCAUUCAAUUUCUCACAGACACUCGUAAUGUUCUGUGGAGCAAUACAUUUUAUUUAAGCAGGAAAAGAAAUGCUACUCAAACCCUUCAUAUGAUAUUUUAACACAGCAAAGUUUGGUUAAGGUGUUCUGGAUCAUAUAUGUAUAUAAGUAUAUAUACCUUAAAUCAGUAAUGAAUGACAAAUGGACAACUUGUUUUCAGUGCUAUGAUUUUUUUUUAACAGUGCAGCUCAUGCGUGUCUAUUUCUGGCAGCAUUGCUUACAUUCUUCAGGACAGUGAGACAGCAGCUUGGCCUUCAGAUUCCUCUAACUGAUAUUCUCUCACAAACAAGUUAAUUAAAUAACUUAUAUAUAAAAGAAGCACUUUCUUAACUUUAUUCUUAUGAUGAAGUAUAUGUGUACAGUACAGUGUUAAGCCUUUCUCCAUCUUACUAUCUUUUCGUAACUAUUGUUGCAUAUCUGAUAAAAGCCAUUGACAUUCACCUUCAGUCAUUUGUACUGACUGUAAAAUACAGCUACUGGCUGAGUACUGAAACAUAUGAACCAUUACACCUCAUAGAUAAAUCCUGGUGAAUCCACUCCGAAACAGAUUCCUCCUGUUCUGUCAAAGAGGCAGCAAAAUACCCCAUCCUAUGUAUGAGCCUAAAUAGCAGCCUAACAGCAAAUACCUCAAUGUGCACCAUAAAUUUAAUUAAA